GAUGAACGCUGGCGGCGUGCCUAAUACAUGCAAGUCGAGCGAACGGACGAGAAGCUUGCUUUUCUGAUGUUAGCGGCGGACGGGUGAGUAACACGUGGAUAACCUACCUAUAAGACUGGGAUAACUUCGGGAAACCGGCGCUAAUACCGGAUAAUAUUUUGAACCGCAUGGUUCAAAAGUGAAAGACGGUCUUGCUGUCACUUAUAGAUGGAUCCGCGCUGCAUUAGCUAGUUGGUAAGGUAACGGCUUACCAAGGCAACGAUGCAUAGCCGACCUGAGAGGGUGAUCGGCCACACUGGAACUUAGACACGGUCCAGACUACUACGGGAGGCAGCAGUAGGGAAUCUUCCGCAAUGGGCGAAAGCCUGACGGAGCAACGCCGCGUGAGUGAUGAAGGUCUUCGGAUCGUAAAACUCUGUUAUUGGGGAAGAACAUAUGUGGAAGUAACUGUGCACAUCUUGACGGUACCUAAUCAGAAAGCCACGGCUAACUACGUG
rnacentral:rRNA from 1 species